rnacentral:misc_RNA from 1 species
CAAGAAGCUGCUAGUUUAGAUUGGACAAAAUCAACAGGACACACCUUGAAUGGAUUUAGGCAUCUGGACCAUUAUGAAGAAGAAUUUCAUGCUUCAGACAAUAGAAACUUCUCUCAGAAGCUUGGGGGAAAUGUUUCAGAUCAUCUGGGUAGUGCACGUUCAUCUUCAGUGGCUGCUGCUUACCGCCGUUUAGCAAAUGCUUCUGCCAACAGUUUGGAAGUUCAUGGAGAGUAUAAAGAACCUGACCCUGAUGAUUCCAGGUUCAGCAUAAAUAAUAGACUUGAUAUCAUGGAUUAUGUAGGAGAGGACAAUAAAGACAUUGAAAACCCACACAAGGUUCAGUUGAAACCUGAUUAUGAGCCAGAUCCUGAUGAACCUGCUUGUGACCACAGUAAGUAUGAACCUGAUCCUGAUGAUUCUCAGAGUAAUCACCCUCAGCCGAUGGAGACUCUGAACAGUGGGAUUCAGCUUAGCAAGACCAUUGAUGAACCAGAUCCAGAUGACUCAGAAACAAAACAGAGCAAUUCAAGGGACAGAAACAUCCAGGGACCAGAUUUGAACAAUUCUAUAGUGACUGAAAGCAUGGAAGAUCAAACCUCUCUAAAUAAGGCUUAUACAGAACCUGAUCCUGAUGAAUCUCAAGCAAACAUAACUGCGCGGACAGAGCCUGAUCCUGAUGAUGAUUUAAUGGCCCCACAGGAAAUAUCCGGUAAGAGAACUGCUGAAAGCAUGAUUAUUGAUGAACCUGAUCCAGAUGACUUGGAAGCAAAACAGAGCAGUUCGGGAGAUGUAAAUAUCCAAGAACAAGAUCAGAUUAAUCCUCUAUUGACUGAAAUGAAGGAACCUGAUCCUGAUGAAUCUCAAGCAAACAAAACAGAGCCUGAUCCUGAUGAAUCUCAAGCGAACAAAACAGAGCCUGAUCCUGAUGAUGAUUUAGUGACGUCACAGAAAAUAUCCAGUAUGAAAAUUGAUGAGCCAGAUCCCGAUGAAGAGUUACAGAGAAUCCAAGAUCCUGUUACUGUUGUUUGUGGUAGGCUGCAGAAGGCUGUUGAGAGGCUGAGAGCUGAAGUUAAUCCCACAGAAGCAACUGGCAUCUUGCAAAUUCUUUUCAAAAUAAUUAGGAAUGUGAUUGAACACCCAAAUGAAAUGAAAUUUAAGAAGCUCCGCAAGGCUAAUCCCAUAAUCCAGAAGAAUGUUGCCAAUCAUAAAGCUGCAAUGGAAAUACUACAAACGGUUGGAUUUAUUGAAGAUGUUGUCUUUGAUGAAACUGGGAAAGCAGAAUCUUGUUUAGUGUUGAAGCGGAAUGAUCCAGGCCUGUUGUGGCUUGCAAAAUCAUCCCUUGAGGCUUGUGUAACCGGCUAGUCCUGGAGGGAUCAACAUUCUAAAACUCAAAAUGCGUUUGAAACUGUAAAAAACUGUAAAGAUGUGCCAUAUGCAAGUUGUAUACCGCAUGUACUUGAUGAAAAACAUACAUGCAUGAUUGUACUUUGGGUGGAGCAAGAACACUAAUUGUAAUUAAAUUGAAGUUUUGGACAAUUUGAGUUUUAGAAUUGUUUGAUGAUGCUAGGGGGAACAUUGUACAACAAAACAGUGGCAGGGUUGAUGGUGGCAUAUCUUUACAGUUUUUUAC